rnacentral:rRNA from 1 species
AGAGUUUGAUCCUGGCUCAGAUUGAACGCUGGCGGCAGGCCUAACACAUGCAAGUCGAGCGGUAACACAAGGGAGCUUGCUCCUGAGGUGACGAGCGGCGGACGGGUGAGUAAUGCCUAGGGAUCUGCCCAGUCGAGGGGGAUAACAGUUGGAAACGACUGCUAAUACCGCAUACGCCCUACGGGGGAAAGGAGGGGACCUUCGGGCCUUCCGCGAUUGGAUGGCCUGGGAAACCGGGUCUAAUACUGGAUACGACCUUCUGGCGCAUGCCAUGUUGGUGGAAAGCUUUUGUGGUUUUGGAUGGACUCGCGGCCUAUCAGCUUGUUGGUGGGGUAAUGGCCUACCAAGGCGACGACGGGUAGCCGGCCUGAGAGGGUGACCGGCCACACUGGGACUGAGACACGGCCCAGACUCCUACGGGAGGCAGCAGUGGGGAAUAUUGCACAAUGGGCGCAAGCCUGAUGCAGCGACGCCGCGUGAGGGAUGAAGGCCUUCGGGUUGUAAACCUCUUUCAGUAGGGAAGAAGCCGGCCUUUCGGGGUUGGUGACGGUACCUGCAGAAGAAGCGCCGGCUAACUACGUGCCAGCAGCCGCGGUAAUACGUAGGGCGCAAGCGUUAUCCGGAAUUAUUGGGCGUAAAGAGCUCGUAGGCGGUUUGUCGCGUCUGCCGUGAAAGUCCGGGGCUUAACUCCGGAUCUGCGGUGGGUACGGGCAGACUAGAGUGCAGUAGGGGAGACUGGAAUUCCUGGUGUAGCGGUGAAAUGCGCAGAUAUCAGGAGGAACACCGAUGGCGAAGGCAGGUCUCUGGGCUGUAACUGACGCUGAGAGCGAAAGCAUGGGGAGCGAACAGGAUUAGAUACCCUGGUAGUCCAUGCCGUAAACGUUGGCACUAGGUGUGGGGGACAUUCCACGUUUUCCGCGCCGUAGCUAACGCAUUAAGUGCCCCGCCUGGGGAGUACGGCCGCAAGGCUAAAACUCAAAGGAAUUGACGGGGCCCGCACAAGCGGCGGAGCAUGCGGAUUAAUUCGAUGCAACGCGAAGAACCUUACCAAGGCUUGACAUGAACCGGAAUGAUGCAGAGAUGUGUCAGCCACUUGUGGCCGGUUUACAGGUGGUGCAUGGUUGUCGUCAGCUCGUGUCGUGAGAUGUUGGGUUAAGUCCCGCAACGAGCGCAACCCUCGUUCCAUGUUGCCAGCGGGUUAUGCCGGGGACUCAUGGGAGACUGCCGGGGUCAACUCGGAGGAAGGUGGGGACGACGUCAAAUCAUCAUGCCCCUUAUGUCUUGGGCUUCACGCAUGCUACAAUGGCCGGUACAAAGGGUUGCGAUACUGUGAGGUGGAGCUAAUCCCAAAAAGCCGGUCUCAGUUCGGAUUGAGGUCUGCAACUCGACCUCAUGAAGUUGGAGUCGCUAGUAAUCGCAGAUCAGCAACGCUGCGGUGAAUACGUUCCCGGGCCUUGUACACACCGCCCGUCAAGUCACGAAAGUUGGUAACACCCGAAGCCGGUGGCCUAACCCCUUGUGGGAGGGAGCCGUCGAAGGUGGGACCGGCGAUUGGGACUAAGUCCUAACAAGGUAACCAAU